rnacentral:tRNA from 1 species
UGGGGAAUUAGCUCAGUUGGUAGAGUGCUGCGAUCGCACCGCAGAGGUCAGGGGUUCGAGUCUCCUAUUCUCCAUCCA